rfam:Erwinia tracheiphila strain BuffGH Etrach_2, whole genome shotgun sequence.
UUGCAGGUGAGAGUCCUGCCACGGUAGUUGGUUAAUUUGACCGUGUAGCUAUGGCGUACGUGUGGAAGGUGACUGAAACGCGGGAACAGCGCCGGAUAAACGUUGUCCCAGCCCCAGACAGUGGGCGCGCGCAAAUACACAGCCCGUAACUGAC